AGUUUGAUCAUGGCUCAGGACGAACGCUGGCGGCGUGCUUAACACAUGCAAGUCGAACGGUGACCCAGGGCUUGCCCUGGUGAUCAGUGGCGAACGGGUGAGUAACACGUGGGCAACCUGCCCCUGACUUCGGGAUAACUCCUCGAAAGAGGAGCUAAUACCGGAUACGACCACUUCGGACAUCCGAUGGUGGUGGAAAGUUUUCGGUCAGGGAUGGGCCCGCGGCCUAUCAGCUAGUUGGUGGGGUAAUGGCCUACCAAGGCGACGACGGGUAGCCGGCCUGAGAGGGCGACCGGCCACACUGGGACUGAGACACGGCCCAGACUCCUACGGGAGGCAGCAGUGGGGAAUAUUGCGCAAUGGGCGAAAGCCUGACGCAGCGACGCCGCGUGAGGGAUGAAGGCCUUCGGGUUGUAAACCUCUUUCAGCAGGGACGAAGCGAAAGUGACGGUACCUGCAGAAGAAGCACCGGCUAACUACGUG
rnacentral:rRNA from 1 species